UAGGGAAGUCUUCCACAAUGGGCGAAAGCCUGAUGGAGCAACGCCGCGUGUGUGAUGAAGGGUUCCGGCUCGUAAACACUGUUGUAAGAGAAGAAUGACAUUGAGAGUAACUGUUCAAUGUGUGACGGUAUCUUACCAGAAAGGAACGGCUAAAUACGUGCCAG
rnacentral:rRNA from 1 species